GACGAACGCUGGCGGCGUGCUUAACACAUGCAAGUCGAACGGUGAAGGGGUCUGCUUUUGUGGGCCCUGGAUGAGUGGCGAACGGGUGAGUAACACGUGAGUAACCUGCCCCCUUCUUCUGGAUAACCGCAUGAAAGUGUGGCUAAUACGGGAUAUUCUGGGUCUGUCGCAUGAUGGGUCUGGGAAAGAUUUCGCCUUUGGGUGUUUUUGGUGGGGGAUGGGCUCGCGGCCUAUCAGCUUGUUGGUGGGGUGAUGGCCUACCAAGGCGGUGACGGGUAGCCGGCCUGAGAGGGGGGACGGUCACACUGGGACUGAGACACGGCCCAGACUCCUACGGGAGGCAGCAGUGGGGAAUAUUGCACAAUGGGCGCAAGCCUGAUGCAGCGACGCCGCGUGAGGGAUGGAGGCCUUCGGGUUGUAAACCUCUUUCGCCAGUGAAGCAGGCCUGCUCCUUGUGGGUGGGUUGACGGUAGCUGGAGAAGAAGCGCCGGCUAACUACGUG
rnacentral:rRNA from 1 species